ACUACAAGGUAGAUAGGGCAGAGGUGGAAGCAUGGCAACAUGUGGAGCUGACUGUUACUAAUAGGUCGAGGGCUUAAUCUA
rnacentral:rRNA from 1 species